UAGUGGAUUAUGGAUUAUGGUUCUAGUGAAAAAUGAUCAGAGAGAAAGAGUUGCUUAAUCAAAUGGACUACAUUUUGAUACCAUCAAAUGUCGGGAAGUGCCCUUAAAGUGAUCUCCAAUUUCAGCUAUUUUGUUUAUUUUUGAUAACGUCUGGUGUAAAAUGAUGACAGAGAACGAGUUACUUAAUUAAAUGGACUACAUUUUGGUACCAUCAAAGGUCGGGAAGUGUCCUUAAAUUGAUCUCCAAAUUCAGCAAUUUUGUUCAUUUUUUAAAUGUUCUGGUGGAAAAUGAUAACAGAAGAAGAGAUGCUUAAUCAAAUGGACUACAUUUUGAUACCAUCAAACGUCGGGAAGUGCCCUUAAAUUGAUCUCCAAUUUCAGCAAUUUUGAACAUUUUUGAAAAGUUCUGGUGGAAAAUGGUCUGUAUCUUGUGUUUCAAUGGCUGGAUUUUUAUUUUGUUUGCUUCAGAUGACAGAGGAAGAGUUACUUAAUUAAAUUGAACUCAUUUUGAUACCAUUAAUGGUCGCGAAGUGCUUUAAAAUUAAUCUCCAAAUUCAGCAAUUUUGUACAUUUUUGAAAAGUUUUGGUGGAAAGUUGUCUGUAUCUUGCGUUUCUUUGGCUCGAUUUUUAUUUUGUUUGCUUCAGAUCUGAGACGAAGCGUUACUUAAUUAAAUGGACUAUAUUUUGGUACCAUCAAAGGUCGGAAAGUGUCUUUAAAUUGAUCUCCAAUUUCAGCCAUUUUGUUCAUUUUUGAAAAGGUUUGGUGCAAAAUGAUGACAGAGGAAGAGUUAUGUAAUUAAAUGGACUUCAUUUUGAUACCAUCAAGGGUCGGGAAGUGCCCUUAAAUUUAUCUUCAAUUUCAGCAAUUUUGUUCAUUUUUGACAAGUUUUGGUGGAAAAUGAUCAGAGACGCAGAGUUACUUAAUUAAAUGGACUUCAUUUUGGUUCCAUCAACAGUCGGGAAGUGCCCUUAAAUUGAUCUCCAAUUUCAGCAAUUUUGUACAUUUUUGAAAUGUUCUGGUGGAAAAUGGUCUGUAUCUUGCGUUUCCCUGGCCCGAUUUUUAUUUUCUUUUCUUCAGAUAACAGAGGAAGUGUUACUUAAUUAAAUGAACUUCAUUUUGAUACCCUCAAGGGUCGGGAAGUACCCUAAAAUUGAUCUCCAAUUUCAGUAAUUUAGCUCAUUUUUGAAAAGUUGUAAGUUGUGGUCGAAAACGAUAUUGGGAAUAAUGAUUUGCAGUUGGAACGUCGUAGAAAUUUUGCACAGGGCGUUAAUGGCGCCAAAACUUGCACUGCCAUGCUGUCACGAAAUACGUGUCGAUAUUUUGCAUGGAAACAAUUUUUUUGUCGCGUUCAGCGAGCGUAUCGCAACAGCGAUAGUGGCCGCACGUUGUCGGCGUUGGCUGCGUGCAGCCCAGUGAACCGCAGUUUCAUUCCGGUCGUCGAAUAAACCGCGCGUGUUUAUCGCGACUAGUUCUAUUUUGUCUGAUCAUAAUUAAGCAAAUCGAUGUAUAAUUAAGUAAAUUUAUAUUCGUUAAGCAAUCGACGGCAUAUACCAGAAUCGGACGUGACGGGGGUUUUAAAAGUGUGAUUGCACGCGUUGGGUGUUUUUCAAUCGCGGAUUCAAUUUCGGUUUUCCGAAGCGCGUGUGUGCCCGUCGGCAAACGGUUAUCUUUUAUAAUUAACUCGUGCAAAUAGACGCUGGUAUCCACAAAGAAAGUUUUGUGAGUGCACAAAUGGAGUUUGCAAUAUUUAUAACGGAAGUUUUGGAAGUUUGGUCUUUA